rnacentral:rRNA from 1 species
UACAGAGGUCCCGAGCGUUGUUCGGAUUUACUGGGCGUAAAGGGCGCGUAGGCGGCGUGACAAGUCACUUGUGAAAUCUCCGGGCUUAACUCGGAACGGUCAAGUGAUACUGUCGUGCUAGAGUACAGAAGGGCAACUGGAAUUCUCGGUGUAGCGGUGAAAUGCGUAGAUAUCGAGAGGAACACCUGCGGCGAAGGCGGGUUGCUGGGCUGAUACUGACGCUGGAGGCGCGAAAGCUAGGGGAGCGAACGGG